rnacentral:rRNA from 1 species
UACGUAGGGUGCGAGCGUUGUCCGGAAUUAUUGGGCGUAAAGAGCUCGUAGGCGGUGUGUCGCGUCGGCCGUGAAAACCUGGGGCUCAACUCUGGGCGUGCGGUCGAUACGGGCAUCACUUGAGUUCGGCAGGGGAGACUGGAAUUCCUGGUGUAGCGGUGGAAUGCGCAGAUAUCAGGAGGAACACCGGUGGCGAAGGCGGGUCUCUGGGCCGAUAUUGACGCUGAGGAGCGAAAGCGUGGGGAGCAAACAGG